rnacentral:rRNA from 1 species
AGUGAACGCUGGCGGUAGGCCUAACACAUGCAAGUCGAACGGCAGCACAGUAAGAGCUUGCUCUUACGGGUGGCGAGUGGCGGACGGGUGAGGAAUACAUCGCAAUCUACUUUUUCGUGGAGGAUAACGUAGGGAAACUUACGCUAAUACCGCAUACGACCUACGGGUGAAAGCAGGGGAUCUUCGGACCUUGCGCGAUUGAAUGAGCCGAUGUCGGAUUAGCUAGUUGGCGGGGUAAAGGCCCACCAAGGCGACGAUCCGUAGCUGGUCUGAGAGGAUGAUCAGCCACACUGGAACUGAGACACGGUCCAGACUCCUACGGGAGGCAGCAGUGGGGAAUAUUGGACAAUGGGCGCAAGCCUGAUCCAGCCAUACCGCGUGGGUGAAGAAGGCCUUCGGGUUGUAAAGCCCUUUUGUUGGGAAAGAAAAGCAGCAGGUUAAUACCCCGCUGUUCUGACGGUACCCAAAGAAUAAGCACCGGCUAACUUCGUG